rnacentral:antisense_RNA from 1 species
ACAGAUUUGGUGACAUGUCUCGCACAAGACUGUUACCACGGUUAGAGAAUCUGCCAGGAUUAACUAACCUUCGAAAAACCACCUGCCAGGGUGGUUUUUUCGUU